UCGAAGGUAGCAUAAUCAGUAGUUUUUUAAUUGAAAACUUGUAUGAAUGGUUGAACAAAAUAUAAUCUUUAUUAAUUAAUUUAAUUAAAAAUUAAUUUUUUAGUUAAAAAGCUAAAAUAUUUUAAAAAGACGAGAAGACCCUAUAGAUUUUUAUAAUUAAUAAUUUUUUUUUUAUAAAGAAUAUUUAAAUUUAAAAAUUAUAAAUUAUUUUAUUGGGGUGAUAAUAAAAUUUAAAAAACUUAUAUUUAAAAUUUACAAUAAUAAUUGAAAAAUUGAUCCGUUAUUAAUGAUUAUAAGAUUAAAUUACCUUAGGGAUAACAGCGUAAUUUUUAUAUAAAGUUCAUAUUAAUAUAAAAUUUUGCGACCUCGAUGUUGGAUUAA
rnacentral:rRNA from 1 species